AGGUAAUUAGUUUAAAGAAAACAUUUGAUUUCGGCUCAAAAGCUUAUGGUUCGAAUCCAUGAUAACCUA
rnacentral:tRNA from 1 species